rnacentral:tRNA from 2 species
GCCGGCGUGGCGAAAUGGCAGACGCGACAGACUCAAAAUCUGUUUACCGCAAGGUAGUGGGGGUUCAAGUCCCUUCGCCGGCACCA